GAUGAAGAACGUAGCGAAAUGCGAUAAGUAGUGUGAAUUGCAGAAUUCAGUGAAUCAUCGAAUCUUUGAACGCACAUUGUGCCCCUUGGUAUCCCGAGGGGCAUGCCUGUUCGAGCGUCAUUUCACCACUCAAGCCUGGCUUGGUGUUGGGCGACGUCCCCUUUGGGGACGCGCCUCGAAACGCUCGGCGGCGUGGCACCGGCUUUAAGCGUAGCAGAAUCUUUCGCUUUGGAAGUCGGGGCCCCGUCUGCCGGAAGACCUGCUCGCAAGGUUGACCUCGGAUCAGGCAGGGAUACCCGCUGAACUUAAGCAUAUCAAUAAGCGGAGGA
rnacentral:misc_RNA from 1 species